GGGUAACCUGCCUUAUAGUGGGGGAUAGCUUUCGAAAGGAAGAUUAAUACCGCAUAAGAUUGUAGUAUCGCAUGAUAUAGCAAUUAAAGGAGCAAUCCGCUAUAAGAUGGACCCGCGUCGCAUUAGCUAGUUGGUGAGGUGAUGGCUCACCAAGGCGACGAUGCGUAGCCGACCUGAGAGGGUGAUCGGCCACAUUGGGACUGAGACACGGCCCAGACUCCUACGGGAGGCAGCAUG
rnacentral:rRNA from 1 species